rfam:Stegodyphus mimosarum contig55684, whole genome shotgun sequence.
GCCUUCGUAGUGUAAUGGUCAGUACACUCGGCGAGCAUUCUAGAGAUCCGAGGUUCGAGUCCCGGCAAGGGCA